rnacentral:ncRNA from 1 species
CUAUGUUUAGCAAAUUAAACAUGGCGGAAGGAG